rnacentral:tRNA from 1 species
GCCUGAGUGGCACAAUGGGUCAAUGGGUUUGGCUGUUAACCAGAAGGUUGGUGGUUCGAGCCCACCCAGGGA